GACGAACGCUGGCGGCGUGCUUAACACAUGCAAGUCGAACGGGUCUGCCCUGUUUUUUGCGGGGUGGGUCAGUGGCGAACGGGUGAGUAGCACGUGAGUAACCUGCCCCUCACUUCUGGAUAACCGCUUGAAAGGGUGGCUAAUACGGGGUGUUCUGGCUGUGCCGCAUGGUGUGGCUGGGAAAGAUUCACUUUUGUGGUGUUUUGGUGGGGGAUGGGCUCGCGGCCUAUCAGCUUGUUGGUGGGGUGAUGGCCUGCCAAGGCUUUGACGGGUAGCCGGCCUGAGAGGGUGGGCGGUCACACUGGGACUGAGAUACGGCCCAGACUCCUGCGGGAGGCAGCAGUGGGGGGUAUUGCACAAUGGGCGGAAGCCUGAUGCAGCGACGUCGCGUGAGGGAUGGAGGCCUUCGGGUUGUGAACCUCUUUCGCCGGUGAAGAAGGUCCUGCUCUUUGUGGUGGGGUUGACGGUAGCCGGGUUAUGAAGCGCCGGCUAACUACGUG
rnacentral:rRNA from 1 species